rnacentral:rRNA from 1 species
AACGUAGGAGACAAACGUUAUCCGGAGUUACUGGGCGUAAAGGGCGUGUAGGUGGUUGCGUAAGUCUGGCGUGAAAUAUCUCGGCUUAACCGAGGCAGGUCGUCGGAUACUGCGUAACUGGAGGACGGUAGAGGCGUGUGGAAUUCCGGGUGUAGCGGUGAAAUGCGUAGAUAUCCGGAGGAACACCGGUGGCGAAGGCGGCUUCCUGGACCGACACUGACGCUGAGGCGCGAAAGCCAGGGGAGCAAACGGG